rnacentral:rRNA from 1 species
UAUUUAGUUUGAUCAUGGCUCAGGACGAACGCUGGCNGCGAUGCCUAAUACAUGCAAGUCGAGCGAACAAGAAGGAGCUUGCUCCUUCGAUGUUAGCGGCGGACGGGUGAGUAACACGUGGGCAACCUACCUUAUAGUUUGGGAUAACUCCGGGAAACCGGGGCUAAUACCGAAUAAUCUAUUUUACUUCAUGGUGAAAUACUGAAAGACGGUUUCGGCUGUCGCUAUAAGAUGGGCCCGCGGCGCAUUAGCUAGUUGGUGAGGUAACGGCUCACCAAGGCGACGAUGCGUAGCCGACUGAGAGGGUGAUCGGCCACACUAGGGACUGAGACACGGCCCAGACUCCUUACGGGACGGCAGCAGUCAGGGACAUCUUUCCACACAUGGGCGAAAUGCC